CCUCCUGAAGCUGCUCACUCAGUCGAAGAGGACUACCUUUCCCGAUAGAGGA
rnacentral:sRNA from 1 species